GCUUCUGCGGCACACGCUGCUUCUCCAGCGCCCAGCUCCCGCAGCAACAGUGGCUUCCCCAGAGCCUGGCUCCUGAGAUGAACAGCGGGAAGCCGUUCCCCCGACUCAGAAUCCUCUCGCCCAGGCAGUUUUGUAUUACAGUGCCUCAGAUGGGCAGAUUGAGACGAGGAGCUGUAAAGAUAUCUGCGUGAGAUGAUUGGGGAGCAGAGCUACUUUCAUUGCGUAUCAAGAGACUUACAUGCUUCCUUGCCUCACCACCGCGAUCCUCCCAAAAUGGCAUUAUGCCCAUUUCACAAACGAGGAAGCUGGGAUCCGACGAGAGUUGGAAGCUUGAGCAAGAUUAUAAAGCCAGUGACUACAGUCUAGUUGGGGAGAUAAGACAGUCGCCGAAGAAACCAUCAGAAAGCAAAACAAUGGAGGAGAGAUUUGUCUGUCCAUCAAUCAAUGUAUAUUUCAUUAUGUCAAGGCCUGAGCUUGCCUCCGGUGGCUGCAGUGAUGAGAAAGAGACUUGGUUCCUGUCCUCAUGCGGCAAUGGAGGAGAGAUCAGUGAGCAACCAAAUAAUCACAGAUGUAAAAUAUGCUUGGAGUGCCCAGAGUUCUUUUCUCUUCUGGUUAUACUCCCUUCCUGAACAAGUCCUGGUCCUUCUGACCCUGCUCAUGGUCCCUCUGAGGGGACUUCUCUGACCUCAGUGGCGUGGAUGUCAGUCAGUUAACUUGGCAAGCAGCCUGUUUUCAUUUUACAGACUCUCAUUUCUUCGCCUUUGAAGAUGACUUUUCUGGCAGUUCAGGAUUACAGCCAUCCCUUAAUGUAAAACAAAUAUGUAAUUAAGCAGAGUAGGCUCAUUUUCUCUGUGAGUGACGGCUUGAAACUACAAAUAAGUGUCUAACUUGGGGGAACUAAAUAAAGAAUGUGAUUAAAAACUUUCUCCUUAAAACACGAAAUUACAAACCACAGCAGGCUCAGUUACAAGUAUGCUCAUGAUUUGGGAAGAAUGAAACGUAUUCUUGAUGCUUCUUAUGCUACUGUGAGAAACUUAGAGCCACUGGGUGGAGUACACGAAAAAGGAUUUAAUUAGGUGGACAAAACCACAUAUGUAAUUGAAGUAGUGAAACUCUUUAAUUGCAUUUUCUUUGUACUCUUGGUUGAAAUUGUAACCAAAUUAGACACUUUGAAAAUAGGCUGUUUUCAUAAACAUAUUUUAUAUAAGGCCUGACCAAUUUUAGUAUACGUAAUCAUAUGUUUUCACUAACUUGAAGCUCCCGUAUUUCAAUCAAGUUUGGUUUUCUAUUUAAUCCAAGUUUUAAGGACUCCUUUUGAAUUUAAGUAGCGGGCAUAAUGUAUUUUAGGGAUAUGAAAAUUAAUAAAGAGAAACUUUACUAAAAUGGAGUUGGGAGACUUGAAUGGGGAGUUUUUACUCCCCAUUGUACCACGUGAUGUCAACUACAGGAAGAAUUCUUAAUUACAGGUCCCAACAGAAGAAGUCAACAGGAAUGAAUCACCAAUUACAGAACCUAAAAGGAAAAGAUGCACAUUACAUCUCCUACAAGACAUCAAAUACCCCAGCAACUCAGCUAAUGAGAAACUGUCACUCUUGCUUUCCACCAAUGGACUUUUGUCCAAAACAACCCCUCUCAACUUCUUCCUUUUUCUCUGUAAAAUAACGUUUCUCUUUUUUGCUUGCUGGACUUGCCUAGGGCUUUCGCUAUAGCUUGUUUGUUCUGAUUUGUAAUUCCUUUGGUAUUUCUGAAUAAACCCUUCU